rnacentral:rRNA from 1 species
GACGUAGGUGGCGAACGUUAUCCGGAGUUAUUGGGCGUAAAGGGUGCGUAGAUGGUAUGAUAAGUUAUCAGUGGCAAAUCGGGGCUCAACCUCGUGGAAGCUGGUAAUACUGUUAUACUUGAGUACAGGAGAGGUUAAUGGAAUUCCCUGUGGAGCGGUAAAAUGCGUUAGAUAUAGGGAAGAACACCAAUAAAGGCGAAGGCAAUUAACUAUUCUGCUACUGACAUUGAGGCACGAAAGCGUGGGAGCAAAAAGG